rnacentral:rRNA from 1 species
ACGGGAGGCAGCAGUGGGGAAUAUCGCACAAUGGGGGAAACCCCGAUGCAGCGACGCCGCGUGAGUGAAGAAGUAUUUCGGUAUGUAAAGCUCUAUCAGCAAGGAAGAAAAUGACGGUACUUGACUAAGAAGCCCCGGCUAACUACGUGCCAGCAGCCGCGGUAAUACGUAGGGGGCAAGCGUUAUCCGGAUUUACUGGGUGUAAAGGGAGCGUAGACGGUAUGGCAAGUCUGAAGUGAAAUGCCCGGGCUCAACCCGAGAACUGCUUUGGAAACUGUCAAACUAGAGUGCAGGAGAGGUAAGUGGAAUUCCUAGUGUAGCGGUGAAAUGCGUAGAUAUUAGGAGGAACACCAGUGGCGAAGGCGGCUUACUGGACUGUAACUGACGUUGAGGCUCGAAAGCGUGGGGAGCAAACAGGAUUAGAUACCCUGGUA